AUUGAACGCUGGCGGCAGGCCUAACACAUGCAAGUCGAACGAGUGGCGGACGGGUGAGUAAUGUCUGGGCAACUGCCUGAUGGAGGGGGAUAACUACUGGAAACGGUAGCUAAUACCGCAUACCAUCGGAUUUGCACAGAUGGGAUUCGCUAGUAGGUGGGGUAACGGCUCACCUAGGCGACGAUCCCUAGCUGGUCUGAGAGGAUGAGCAGCCACACUGGAACUGAGACACGGGCCAGACUCCUACGGGAGGCAGCAGUGGGGAAGAUUGCACAAUGGGCGCAAGCCUGAUGCAGCCAUGCCGCGUGUAUGAAGAAGGCCUUCGGGUUGUAAAGUACUUUCAGCGGGGAGGCGUUACCCACAGAAGAAGCACCGGCUAACUCCGUGCCAGCAGCCGCGGUAAUUC
rnacentral:rRNA from 1 species